CCUGAAGGCCGAAGAUGCCACGAGUUCGGUCCGAAAUUCGACGAAGGUGUUCUUAAUCCGUAGAAUAAAUUAACUCUAAUCUAAUCAAAAUCUAAUCCAAUCUAACCUAAUCUAAUCACUUAUUGCUGAAACUAAUCCUAUUCUCUGAUCUAAUCACCAAGUUAAGGACCGUUGGGGGAGUGGGGAACGCCUCCUCACAUUUUUGGACAUUUGUAAUGAAAUGUAUAACAAAUUAUGUUGGUUGGCCAGCUUUGCACCUAUUUUCACUGUUGCCAAUCCUAAAACCCAUUGAACAUGGUGGUCCCAAUUGGUCAAGCCAACACUAGUACUAGUCCCGACGCCAACAUGGCUGGCAGUUGUAAAGCCUGGUUCACAUAUACCUGC